ACGGCUUCCCGUAUGAUCAUCGAAGUUAAGCAACGUCAAGCCCGAUAAGUACCUAGAUGGGUGACUGUUUGAGAAUAACAAGUGCUGUAAG